rnacentral:rRNA from 1 species
UACGUAGGGUGCGAGCGUUGUUCGGAGUUACUGGGCGUAAAGGGCGCGUAGGCGGCGCUCCAAGUUAGGCGUGAAAGCCCCGGGCUCAACCUGGGAAUUGCGCUUAAGACUGGAGUGCUCGAGUGCGGAAGAGGUGAGUGGAAUUCCCAGUGUAGAGGUGAAAUUCGUAGAUAUUGGGAAGAACACCAGUGGCGAAGGCGGCUCACUGGUCCGCAACUGACGCUGAGGCGCGAAAGCGUGGGGAGCAAACAGG